CUCUACCAGCUGCUUCUUGUCACCUAUACCUGCCUCCGCAGACCACGAUGCUAAGGGAGAAAAGCAAAUUCAGGCACCAUAGCAAGCCGGCAGACACCAACAGUCCAACCGUGCACGGCACAGCAGUUAUGAAAGCAGUUCGUGGGUUGGAAUCCUGCCUCCACCUUUAUGGACCCUGUAACGUUUCUCUAUGCCUUACCUGCCUCCCCUGUGCGACAGAAACAACCAGAAAUAUUCCUCAAGUGCCCACCAAGAGCAGGUAAUGAACUUGGCUUCAGGAAGGAGCAGGCUGAGAGUUCUACUGAGCAAAGGACGCCGCAGCUCUGAGCACACUGAUAAUUGCCUUCAUCGACACUGGCUUCUACCCCCUUGGAGCUUGCUGCAGUGCUGAGUGAACUCCUGGAGAGAGCCCUGGAAGCCAUGAUGAGAAAUCCGGAUCCUUCUAACAAUGCAAAGCGUUAGCAGCUCCCAAAGUCAUGAAGGAACUUGGAGAGAUCUCUAUUGGUCAACCAAUUCCUCCCAAGACCAUCCUCCGGCGAGAAAUCAGGUUCUCCUUCCCUGAGCCCAAUGGUCCUGCACCCACAACUCCAGCCCGGGGCUGUGUCACCUCAUGGGAUUGGCGUCACAGUGCUCUGUUACCUGCCCAACCUGCCUUGUCCUGCUGGUGGGGCACAUGCGUCCCUGUCACGGUGGGAUCCUCACCGUGGGCCCCGUGUCUGGUGCUCCACAGUGUUGACGGAAUCCACUGAGGGGCAAUGAAGCCUUAGAUCUUAGGGAAGCAUAU